UACGGAGGAUCCAAGCGUUAUCCGGAUUCAUUGGGUUUAAAGGGUGCGUAGGCGGAACGAUAAGUCAGUGGUGAAAGCCUGCAGCUUAACUGCAGAACUGCCAUUGAUACUGUCGAUCUUGAGUACAUUUGAUGAGGGCGGAAUGUGUCAUGUAGCGGUGAAAUGCUUAGAUAUGACAUAGAACACCAAUUGCGUAGGCAGCUUAUUACACGAUCAUUGACGCUGAGGCACGAAAGCGUGGGGAGCAAACAGG
rnacentral:rRNA from 1 species